rnacentral:rRNA from 1 species
UACGGAGGGUGCGAGCGUUGUCCGGAAUCACUGGGCGUAAAGGGCGCGUAGGCGGCUCAUGAAGGCUGUGGUGAAAGUCCGGGGCUCAACCUCGGAUCGGCCGUGGCGACUCGUGGGCUGGAGCACUGUAGAGGCGGGUGGAAUUCCGGGUGUAGCGGUGGAAUGCGUAGAGAUCCGGAAGAACACCAGUGGCGAAGGCGGCCCGCUGGGCAGUGGCUGACGCUGAGGCGCGACAGCGUGGGGAGCAAACAGG